rnacentral:rRNA from 1 species
CGGGACACGUGGUAUCCUGUCUGAAUAUGGGGGGACCAUCCUCCAAGGCUAAAUACUCCUGACUGACCGAUAGUGAACCAGUACCGUGAGGGAAAGGCGAAAAGAACCCCGGCGAGGGGAGUGAAAAAGAACCUGAAACCGUGUACGUACAAGCAGUGGGAGCACGCUUAGGCGUGUGACUGCGUACCUUUUGUAUAAUGGGUCAGCGACUUAUAUUCUGUAGCAAGGUUAACCGAAUAGGGGAGCCGAAGGGAAACCGAGUCUUAACUGGGCGUUAAGUUGCAGGGUAUAGACCCGAAACCCGGUGAUCUAGCCAUGGGCAGGUUGAAGGUUGGGUAACACUAACUGGAGGACCGAACCGACUAAUGUUGAAAAAUUAGCGGAUGACUUGUGGCUGGGGGUGAAAGGCCAAUCAAACCGGGAGAUAGCUGGUUCUCCCCGAAAGCUAUUUAGGUAGCGCCUCGUGAAUUCAUCUCCGGGGGUAGAGCACUGUUUCGGCAAGGGGGUCAUCCCGACUUACCAACCCGAUGCAAACUGCGAAUACCGGAGAAUGUUAUCACGGGAGACACACGGCGGGUGCUAACGUCCGUCGUGAAGAGGGAAACAACCCAGACCGCCAGCUAAGGUCC